ACUCAAAGGAAUAGACGGGGGCUUGCACAAGCGGUGGAGCGUGUGGCUCAAUUCGUCGCUAAGCGAAGAACCUUACCAGGGCUAGAAAUCCUACUGCACGCCUAGCGAAAGCUAGGAAGCCUUCGAGGGUGUAGGACAGGUGAUGCAUGGCUGUCGUCAGUUCGUGGUUUGAAUCGUUCCCUUCAGUGGGGUAACGAACGCAACCCUCGUUGCCAGUUAUAAGUGUCUGGCGAGACUGCCCCCUCACGGGGGAGGAAGGUGAGGAUGACGCCAAGUCAGCAUGUCCCUCUGAUGUCCUGGGCUGCACACGCGCUACAAUCGCCGUUACAAAGGGGCGCAAUGUGGUAACACGGAGCAAAUCCUUAAAAGCGGCGCCAGUUCGGAUUGGGGUCUGCAACUCGACCCCAUGAAGCCGGAAUCGCUAGUAAUCGUGGGUCAGCCACACCACGGUGAAUACGUUCUCAAGCCUUGUACACACCGCCCGU
rnacentral:rRNA from 1 species